UACGGGGGGGGCAAGCGUUGUUCGGAAUUACUGGGCGGAAAGGGCUCGUAGGCGGCCAACUAAGUCGGACGUGAAAUCCCUCGGCUUAACCGAGGAACUGCGUCCGAUACUGGAUGGCUUGAGUUUGGGAGAGGGAUGCGGAAUUCCAGGUGUAGCGGUGAAAUGCGUAGAUAUCUGGAGGAACACCGGUGGCGAAGGCGGCAUCCUGGACCAACACUGACGCUGAGUGAGCGAAAGCCAGGGGAGCAAACGGG
rnacentral:rRNA from 1 species